rnacentral:rRNA from 1 species
UUUGAACGUUCGAUCUCAAAUCAGGUAGGACUACCCGCUGAACUUAAGCAUAUCAAUAAGCGGAGGAAAAGAAACUAACAAGGAUUCCCCUAGUAACUGCGAGUGAAGCGGGAAGAGCUCAAUUUAAAAUCUGGCGUGCCUCUGGUCGUCCGAGUUGUAGUCUAGAGAAGUGUUUUCGUGCUGG